UGUAAACAAAACAAACAUACUCCUGUAAAUAUCGUAACAGUGAAUCGGUGAUCCAUGACAAUAUACACAAACAUUGUCAAAACAAGCCAUUAAGUCAAAUAUUCAACUACAGUUCAUUAGUUCAAUCAGCUUUUAGGCUAAGCUUUUAACUUAACUGAAUUUGCAAUGGCAAAAUUAAGUAUUUUUGUGAAAACUUAACAAAUCACACAGAAUAAUAUACACUCUUUUGAGCUUUAUUGACGAUAUUAUCUACUCUCAAGAGUUUGGUUAACCUAAAAUGCAGAUGCUCCACAUUGCUUCACAGCUUACUUAUUUGGCUGUUGCUGCGAAUUUUGGUUCAAUUUUCACUGUUCUAAUCUGUUGUGCAGCAAUGAUUCUUUUCAUUCGACAGUUUAGUAUUUCUAAAUAUUCAGGCUUUAUGAGUUUGAACCAACUGGGACUUCAGUUGUACAAGUAAAACAACCAGCCCAACAACAACUAUUAAAUAAAGUUAACUUGCCCUUCUCGCUGGAAGUAGGAAAACUUGAUUCAAGUGAUUUGUCAGGAAAUUAUCACUUGACUUUGUACUCUACCAGCUAUUUUCCAUGCCUCUUUCUUGUUUGUAGAGAAAUGUCAUUAGAUGUAGUUAAAAAUUUGAUCAAUGAACCAUGGCAAAAAUUUUUAGAGUUCUUCAGAUCUGAAAUGAAAAUAUGUCCUAAUUUACAAAUAUAUGCUGAAGAAGAGAUUCAUGAAUUAAAGCCUUUUUCAAUAAAGGGUGCACUUGAUUGCAUACCAAGGACGACGUAUGCUUUAGUGGCGUUUCAUAUUAGAACCGAUGCUGAAUACAUGAAUGAUGGAGAUCCAACGGCCCUAAUAACUCUAAUACAUAUUCCUGAUCGCUACUGCAAUGCCCCGGCAACAACUUUGUGUCAGUAUUUAAAAUGCAACGAUGGAAGAGUAUUAAACCUCAAGCCGCUUUAUUCGCCUGAGAAGUCAAGGAUUACACCAAAUGGAGACGAUUCAAGGCAAAGGCAUGAUAACCAAGGCAACAUUAAUUGCGUUAUCUGUUGGAAUUUUCCAGCUACUCAUGUUUUGCUGCCUUGCAGGCACGCUUGCCUUUGUGUGAAUUGCUUCAAACGUGUAGAAAACUGCCCUGUUUGCCGCACUCGUGUUAUGUCUUACUUUUUAGUGUAGAGAAAGCUAGCACAUACCGCUGAUGUUAAAUUGAAUGCAAAGAAACAAAUAUGAAAAGUUUUAUUUAUA